UACGGGGGGGGCAAGCGUUGUUCGGAAUUACUGGGCGUAAAGGGCGCGUAGGCGGCCACCGCAAGUCGGUUGUGAAAUCUCUGGGCUUAACCCAGAACGGUCAGCUGAUACUGCGGGGCUAGAGUGCAGAAGGGGCAACUGGAAUUCUCGGUGUAGCGGGGAAAUGCGUAGAUAUCGAGAGGAACACCCGCGGCGAAGGCGGGUUGCUGGGCUGACACUGACGCUGACAGCGCGAAAGCUAGGGGAGCGAACGGG
rnacentral:rRNA from 1 species